AUAUAUUAUUUUGCAUUCCCUCACUAAGCUAACUACCUUCACAACCAAGAGGACAUAGACAAACAGCCUUUGGAGUUCCUACUGGAGGAGUGGUUGCAGUGUUGCCAACUAAUUUUCAGGAAGAGCUGAGCACCUAUCAGAUCCUCUGCUGUCCUUCACCCCUUGGUGCAGUCUUCUGACCAUCGCUGGGGCCAGGAAAAAGUCUGUCAACCGAAGUAGGAGCCAAGUGUAUCACCAUGCAACACUCUACCGAGGUUCCGGGUGAUCUCCCAUCUUCUUCAUAGUGGCCUCAGCUGGACUCCACUGGUCAGCUGGAAACCCACCGCAUAACCUCUAGCCAGGUGAAUCAAGAGCUUCACCAGAGACGGAAGAGGAAGCGAAACAUCCUGGCCUUCCUACGUCACCGCCUUAUCUGCUUGUUGCCCUAGCACAGUGUUUCCCUACUCCAGUCCUCCAUCAGUAUACAUUUUUAAUGUAGCCCCAGACAAGCACAUCUGAUUCAACUUGUAAACUAAUCAUCAAGCCCUUGAGUUGAAUGAGGUGUGUUUGUCUGGGGGCUACAAUGAAAAUGUGUGCGGUUAGGGGUACUUGAAGACCGGAGUUGGUAAACAACGAGGGAGUUCUAUUAACCUGAGCCGCGGUGCACUGGUCUAUGACCCAUGGCAUGAAAGGGACAAAUCUGUGAGGGAGGAGUGCCCUUCUCAAAUCUAACAGUAAUUUGUGCCACUGUCAUGUUGUCGACAAGGCAGCAUGGUGCGUCUUUCAGAAAUAUUUUUUCCCUUAAAAUAUGUUAGAAUUUUCAAACUAGUUGUUUUCAUUGUGAUUGCUUUUGAUAAAAACGCACUAUCUGCAAUCACUUUCACAUGUGAAAACACAGACCUACUCAUUACUCCAUGUGCUUAGUCUAGCCUACAGUAGGCAAUCUCUUUUAACCCGCUGCAAACUGCUCCCAGUGGGGAAACCCAGGCCAAUAAUCGAAUCCCUGCUCACAUUUUAAGCCCUUAGAGGUGCUCGACCCUAAACACAUGUGGACUGACUACAGGUUAUAAAGAGGCAGAGGGCAUGAACUGCAAGGCGAAAGACAGACCAUAGUUAAAGGGAUACUUUGGGAUUUUGGCAAUGUGGCCCUUUAUCUACUUCCCCAGAGUCAGAUGAACUCAGCUGUUAUAGAUGUUCAAAUAAUCCAUAAUGUAAAAAUAAGGGAAUUUUAUAUUAUUUUCAACAUAUAUCAUUUAUUUUUUUCAAAAGUGACAGUAGGUUUGCUGGGAUUGUGGCUGUGCAGAGACCACAGACAGUAGUAGCCUAAUAGAACAUAACAGGCUGCAUGGGAACGUGUUCAUGACUCAGCUUCUUGGUCGGCUACAAAUCAACCUGGCCAGGGAACAAUGGCAGCUUUUCAGUUGAUUUCAAUAUUUUUAAGAACUCUAAAUCAUCCAAAGGAAGAAAGAACAUGCCGAUAUCAUCUUGGAGGAAUCAAUUUAGUCCAAUAUAACGUAGACCUAGUCCAUUGCAAUGUGCACAAACCAUGUAUGGGAGAAGAA